CACAAUUCAUUUUCAUAACCCUCCAGCACAAAUGAGCAAUAGGAGAUCUUUCAGUACUGCAGACAUGGUGAAUACAAGAAUAUAUGGUUAGUUUUGAGGUUGUUUAUUUUUUUAAACUGAUUUUUUCGGAGUUGUCUGAUAGUCUUUUCUUUCUAGCUGUUCUCCUGCCACCCUAAGCAGUGCAAAAUGUUAAAUAUGUCCAGCCAUGAAGCUAGCAGCUCCCUGCCUUAAAUCAAACACCUACCAUUUUAAGGUAGCAAUCUGACAACACUGCUUCAUGUCACGUAGUAUCUAGGCCAGUUUCUCUAACUGAACAGGACUGAAACUAAAUUCAAGCUGCUUUUGUCAUGCUCAGAAUAUGCCCUAGUACUUUCCAAAGCAAUGGCAAGACUGUGGAGGCAAUACUGAAAUUAUGACAUGUCCUAUUGCACAACCUUUAAUGUUAUUUCUGAGGCAGCUUUAUAAUAUUAAACAAUUUUUAAAUGCCCCCUAGACCAAGUGAUCAGAUUGUCAAAGCUCUCUAGUGUAUUUUUGUCCAGUCAGAGCUGAUGGAGACUUAAGCAAGGCUUGAAGUGACCCGAGCAUUUGCUGUGCUGUCCCAGGCUGUGGUGCACGUUGCUGUGCUGUGUGCACCGAGGUGUUUGAGAAGUUCUCUAGGUCUGAGGAUGGCUAGCUGGGGGUUUGAUGUAAUGCAUCUGCCUGUCCUGUGCCACUUCAGAAACUGGGUUGGGCCGAGCAAAAGCGCCUUUGGUCUCAGUCCACACCCAAAUUGCAGAGAGACAUCAGCAUUAGUAAUAAUGCUCUGCCUGCAAGGGAGACCCUGAAAUGCAAGUAGGUUAAGUCUGAGAUCAUAACCGACUGCCUAUAAACUAUAUUUUGUGCAGCUCUUGCUUGCUUUUCAGUCUUUCUUUGAAUGUAAAUUCAUAAUACAAGGUUUCAACUAAAGCUGUCUCACUUUGGAAGUAAAUCUUCGUAAUGCAGGUCUUUCUUAAGUGUUGCAUCCAGAGGGUGUUGUGUUCACCUGAAUACAUUAAUGAUGCAGUGAAGUGUUUGAUGAGGAGGUAAAGUUGAAAAGUGGUUUUUAAAAUGGGUCUCCUUGCUCCAGCAUUUUGACAACCAUAUUUCUGGGAGAAUCAGGUGUCACUGCUACCUUAGGUAAAUGAAGCAGGGAACGGUUUGUGUUACAGAUCUCAGGAGAUCUUACGCUGAAGGUUUACAAUGCUUUUUUUUUUUUAAGUUCAUGUGUUUUAUGCAAACUUGACGUACGGUUUUCUGCGCUGAGCCAUGCCAAAAGAUAGAAGACGAGCUAAAUGGUUGCUUUUAGUAGACAUAAAGUCCUUACAAAUAUAAAAGAUUAAGCACAGGUUUGAAGAUAAAUACGAGCAGGAGUGUACAGUUAGUCAUUUUGACAAGAAUAUAGCUUUUUUUUUCCAGCUCCAUCCCCUACUAAUACUUUCAGCCUGCAUAUUUCAUUAGAUAUGCUUACAUACUCUUUAGAAACUUGUAGCAAUCUGUUAAUGUGGACCUGUCUGACAGCCACAGAGGACUUCCAGUGCAACCAUCCUGGUGGAGCACUAAUGCCUUCCUGUGCCUAAUACAGGGUUUUAACAAAUGGAGGUGUUUUCAGGUCCUGUUACCCAUGUGACGCCGGGUGAAUCAUGACCCCUCGUGUUCACGUGUCAGGAACUCCUAACUUGUGCUGUCAGGCAGUUUUACGACACAUUUCCUUUGAAACCAUAAAAGCUAUUACACAAGGUAUUUCACGUCUGCUGAGAAGUGUCUAGCCAUCAGCCUGCGAAUUUCCCCAAAGGUAUUCCAUCUUUCACUCAAAAUAGCAGUCUGCUUGUUUUGAAUGGGAGAAUGUUAAGAAGUUACGAGUACAACACAAAUGAAAAUGAUUUCCAGCAAGACAGUGAUUCGUCACGUAUUUCGUUCAAUGUUGAAGUACAAAGCGAAAAAAAACACGUUGCUUUUGCUCUUUGAUAGUGGUGGGAGGUUGCUACCAGUUACCUGAUAACAGCAUUGGGGUGGAGCUGAGGGGCUGCCCCGUGUCUCCUGUCCCAGCAAAGGGCUCCAGCAGCCUCCUGCGGGUCGUUUGCACUUCACUGAUGGCAACAACGUACCAAGGGACGAGUUGCAGCCACCUCGGGUGUUUCCAUUAGCUUUCCUUGGGAGUAAGAAGGUGAUUGCAGCCUCUCUGUGUUCACACGGGCUCAGAUGCCCCCAGAGCUACGCACACGUCGCCGCCUGCGCUGCGCAGCCCGAUGUGCUUGCCGCAGCACGCCAGCAGCCCCGUGGUGGUGCAUUGUGUGUGUGUGUGCCGGGGCUGCCUUAAAUCACGGCUCAGCAGGCUGCCAUACAACAUGUAAUACAGCUGUUUUGUCUUUGCUCUGCUGAAAUACCAUCUUGGCUUUAAAAAACA